rnacentral:rRNA from 1 species
AUUGAACGCUGGCGGCAUGCUUUGCACAUGCAAGUCGAACGGUAACAGGCCGCAAGGUGCUGACGAGUGGCGAACGGGUGAGUAAUGCAUCGGAACGUGCCCAGUCGUGGGGGAUAACGCAGCGAAAGCUGUGCUAAUACCGCAUACGAUCUAUGGAUGAAAGCGGGGGACCGUAAGGCCUCGCGCGAUUGGAGCGGCCGAUGUCAGAUGAGGUAGUUGGUGGGGUAAAGGCUCACUAAGCCAACGAUCUGUAGCUGGUCUGAGAGGACGACCAGCCACGCUGUGAGUGGGACACGGCCCAGACUCCUAGAGGAGGCAGCAGUGGGGAAUUUUGGACAAUGGGCGCAAGCCUGAUCCAGCAAUGCCGCGUGCAGGAAGAAGGCCUUCGGGUUGUAAACUGCUGUUGUACGGAACGAAAAGGUUUGGGUUAAUACCCUGGGCCGAUGACGGUACCGUAAGAAUAAGCACCGGCUAACUACGUGCCAGCAGCCGCAGUAA